rnacentral:rRNA from 1 species
AGGUCUCCGGUGCCCUACCGUGAGAGCCCGAUGGCGUAUGAGCCGGAGAAGCUCUGCUGGUGCAGGCCGCGUAGGAAGGCGCCUAGAUGGAUCUCAUGGAGCCGUCAGAACCCGGGCCGGAGGUACUACGCCUGCGUGGAUGCCAUGGUAAGUUUCAUUCUUGUUCUACUUUUCUGUUCAUUAGAUCUUCUUCCCUCUCAAACCCUGAUUUCUGUUGGUACAACAAGGUGGUUGUGGCUACGUUGA